CGGCGGACGGGUGAGUAAUGUCUGGGGAAACUGCCUGAUGGAGGGGGAUAACUACUGGAAACGGUAGCUAAUACCGCAUAACGUCGCAAGACCAAAGAGGGGGACCUCCGGGCCUCUUGCCAUCGGAUGUGCCCAGAUGGGAUUAGCUAGUAGGUGGGGUAACGGCUCACCUAGGCGACGAUCCCUAGCUGGUCUGAGAGGAUGACCAGCCACACUGGAACUGAGACACGGUCCAG
rnacentral:rRNA from 1 species